rnacentral:rRNA from 1 species
CAGCGGCCGCGGUAAUACGGAGGGUGCAAGCGUUACCCGGAAUCAUUGGGCGUAAAGCGUCCGCAGGUGGUUUAUUAAGUCAGAUAUUAAAUCUUGGGGCCCAACUCCAAGGCUGUAUCUGAAACUAGUAGACUAGAGUCUUUCAGGGGCAAGCAGAAUUCUGUGUGUAGGGGUAAAAUCCGUAGAUACACAGAGGAAUACCAAAAGCGAAGGCAGCUUGCUGGGAAAGUACUGACACUCAUGGACGAAAGCGUAGGUAGCGAACGGGAUUAGAUACCCCGGUAGUCUACGCCGUAAACGAUGGAUACUAGUUGUUGGAGGGCUCGACCCCUUCAGUGACGACGCUAACGCAUUAAGUAUCCCGCCUGGGGAGUACGGUCGCAAGAUUAAAACUCAAAGGAAUAGACGGGGACCCACACAAGCGGUGGAGCACCUGGCUUAAUUCGAUAAUGAGCGAGGAACCUCACCUGGACUUGACAUCCCGAGAAUUUUCUAGAAAUAGAAAAGUGCCUUAUGGAACUCGGUGACAGGUGCUGCAUGGUUGUCGUCAGCUCGUGCCUUGAGGUGUUCGGUUAAGUCCGUAAACGAGCGCAACCCAUGUCCUGUGUUGCAUUUUUCACAGGAGACUGCCGGUUCCAAGCCGGAGGAAGGUAUGGAUGACGUCAAAUCAGCAUGGCCCUUAUGUCCAGGGCUGCACAGGUGCUACAAUGGUCGGUACAAUGGGUAGCAAUACUGCAAAGUGGAGCCAAUCCACAAAACCGAUCUAAGUUCGAAUUGAGGGCUGCAACUCGCCCUCAUGAAGUUGGAAUCGCUAGUAAACGCGGAUCAGCAUGGCGCGUUGAAUACGUUCCUGGGUCUUGUACUCACCGCCCGUCACACUACGGAAGGUGGAGGCGCCCGAAGUACCCUUAGCUUCUUAGCGGGGUCCUAAGGUGAAAUCACUGACUGGAGUGAAGUCGUAACAAGGUAACCGUA